CGCGUAGGCGGUUUGGACAGUCAGGCGUGAAAUUCCUGGGCUUAACCUGGGGGCUGCGCUUGAUACAUCCAGACUUGAGUGGGGAAGAGGGUCGUGGAAUUCCCAGUGUAGAGGUGAAAUUCGUAGAUAUUGGGAAGAACACCGGUGGCGAAGGCGGCGACCUGGUCCUUUACUGACGCUGAGGCGCGAAAGCGUGGGGAGCAAACAGGAUUAGAUACCCUGGUAGUCCACGCUGUAAACGAUGUGUGCUGGAUGUUGGGUGACCUAGUCACUCAGUGUCGUAGCUAACGCGGUAAGCACACCGCCUGGGGAGUACGGCCGCAAGGUUGAA
rnacentral:rRNA from 1 species